UACCAGCACCCCGAGUUGUCGGGACGAUUAUUGGGCCUAAAGCAUCCGUAGCCGGUUCUACAAGUCUUCCGUUAAAUCCACCUGCUCAACAGUUGGGCUGCGGAGGAUACUAUAGAGCUAGGAGGCGGGAGAGGCAAGCGGUACUCAGUGGGUAGGGGUAAAAUCCGUUGAUCCAUUGAAGACCACCAGUGGCGAAGGCGGCUUGCCAGAACGCACUCGACGGUGAGGGAUGAAAGCUGGGGGAGCAAACCGG
rnacentral:rRNA from 1 species